rnacentral:rRNA from 1 species
AUUGAACGCUGGCGGCAGGCCUAACACAUGCAAGUCGAACGAGUGGCGGACGGGUGCGUAAUGUCUGGGAAACUGCCUGAUGGAGGGGGAUAACUACUGGAAACGGUAGCUAAUACCGCAUACCAUCGGAUGUGCCCAGAUGGGAUGAGCUAGUAGGUGGGGUAACGGCUCACCUAGGCGACGAUCCCUAGCUGGUCUGAGAGGAGGACCGGCCAAACUGGACCGGAGGAAGGGGCCAGACUCCUACGGGAGGCAGCAGUGGGGAAUAUUGCACAAGGGGCGCAAUCCUGAUGCAGCCAUGCCGCGUGUAUGAAGAAGGCCUUCGAGUUGUAAAGUACUUUCAGCGGGGAGGCGUUACCCGCAGAAGAAGCACCGGCUAACUCCGUGCCAGCAGCCGCGGUAAUAC